UACGAAGGGGGCUAGCGUUGUUCGGAAUUACUGGGCGUAAAGCGUAUGCAGGCGGACUUUUAAGUCGGGGGUGAAAUCCCGAGGCUCAACCUCGGAACUGCCUUCGAUACUGGAAGUCUUGAGUCAGGGAGAGGUGAGUGGAACUCCGAGUGUAGAGGUGAAAUUCGUAGAUAUUCGGAAGAACACCAGUGGCGAAGGCGGCUCACUGGCCCGGUACUGACGCUGAGAUACGAAAGCGUGGGGAGCAAACAGG
rnacentral:rRNA from 1 species